UACGUAGGGGGCAAGCGUUGUCCGGAUUUAUUGGGCGUAAAGAGCGUGUAGGCGGCCACACAGGUCAGCUGUGAAAACUCGAGGCUCAACCUCGAGACGUCGGUUGAAACCGUAUGGCUAGAGUCCGGAAGAGGAGAGUGGAAUUCCCGGUGUAGCGGUGAAAUGCGCAGAUAUCGGGGAGGAACACCAGUGGCGAAGGCGGCUCACUGGCCCGGUACUGACGCUGAGGUGCGAAAGCGUGGGGAGCAAACAGGG
rnacentral:rRNA from 1 species